CAGCAGCCACGGGAAUACAGAGGGUGCGAGCGUUAAUCGGAUUUACUGGGCGUAAAGCGUGCGUAGGCGGCUUUUUAAGUCGGAUGUGAAAUCCCUGAGCUUAACUUAGGAAUUGCAUUUGAUACUGGGAAGCUAGAGUAUGGGAGAGGAUGGUAGAAUUCCAGGUGUAGCGGUGAAAUGCGUAGAGAUCUGGAGGAAUACCGAUGGCGAAGGCAGCCAUCUGGCCUAAUACUGACGCUGAGGUACGAAAGCAUGGGGAGCAAACAGGAUUAGAUACCCCGGUAGUCCCUGUCUCUUAUAC
rnacentral:rRNA from 1 species